rnacentral:rRNA from 1 species
CCUACGGGGGGCUGCAGUGGGGAAUAUUGGACAAUGGGGGGAACCCUGAUCCAGCCAUGCCGCGUGUGUGAAGAAGGCCCUCGGGUUGUAAAGCACUUUCAGUGAGGAAGAACGCCUGGUGGUUAAUACCCAUCAGGAAAGACAUCACUCACAGAAGAAGCACCGGCUAACUCCGUGCCAGCAGCCGCGGUAAUACGGAGGGUGCGAGCGUUAAUCGGAAUUACUGGGCGUAAAGCGCGCGUAGGUGGCUUGAUAAGCCGGUUGUGAAAGCCCCGGGCUCAACCUGGGAACGGCAUCCGGAACUGUCAAGCUAGAGUGCAGGAGAGGAAGGUAGAAUUCCCGGUGUAGCGGUGAAAUGCGUAGAGAUCGGGAGGAAGACCAGUGGCGAAGGCGGCCUUCUGGACUGACACUGACACUGAGGUGCGAAAGCGUGGGUAGCAAACAGGAUUAGAUACCCCAGUAGUC